GUGCUUGCUUCAGCAGCAUAUAUACUAAAAUUGGAACACAGAGUAUAGUAACGUGGCCCCUCACAAGGAUGACAUUCAAGUUCGUGAAGCACUCCGUAUUUUU